rnacentral:rRNA from 1 species
GACGAACGCUGGCGGCGUGCUUAACACAUGCAAGUCGAGCGGUAAGGCCCUUUCGGGGGUACACGAGCGGCGAACGGGUGAGUAACACGUGGGUGACCUGCCCUCAGCUCUGGGAUAAGCCUGGGAAACCGGGUCUAAUACUGGAUAUGACUCCAUGACGCAUGCUGUGGGGUGGAAAGCCUUGUGCGGCUGAGGAUGGGCCCGCGGCCUAUCAGCUUGUUGGUGGGGGAUGGCCUACCAAGGCGACGACGGUAGCCGGCCUGAGAGGGCGACCGGCCACACUGGGACUGAGACACGGCCCAGACUCCUACGGGAGGCAGCAGUGGGGAAUCUUGCGCAAUGGGCGAAAGCCUGACGCAGCGACGCCGCGUGAGGGAUGACGGCCU